GCCCGUUUACGCGUGUGCGGGUUUGGGCACCUCUGCUCCAUAGCGAAGACCGAAAAGCACGGCCGCCGCCACGCACCACCCCCUGCCGCCAACACACUGUAGGUCAGCCGCCGGCAACAUUGAAGGAAUUGUUUUUUUUAGGUGAUUGGUGGGUGAAAUGUGGAUCCAUUCUUGAUUCCACGGUUCCACCUAGAACUGGAAGUGGAAUCAGGCACUGCGUCUUCUCUUUUCGGGCACCGCAGCACACAAAGCAGAUAGUAAUGGCGUCAACCACCAUAUCGUCAUGCGCAUAUCAGACGGUGCAAGGCGCGCACCGAUUGAAGAUCUGUCAGUUCAGUCACGGGAUUGUUGGCAUGGAUGUCAAUGCUGAUGGUUUCAUCCGCUCCAGCACCUUUAGGGUUGGGGGAUUCGACUGGGCUACCCAGAGGGCUAUGGCGACGACAGUGAGGGAUUCAUAUCAGUUUUUGUUGAGUUCAUGAGCAAGUAUGGGGAGGCGCCAGCGGUCGUCGACAUAAGACUGAUUGAUCAAGUCACUGGGAAGCCCUACUCGUUAUUGUCAAGUGUGUUUUUUGAAGAGGAUGAGGAGCCAUUUCGGUUCAAGUCUGACAGCUUCGCAGAGGCUACCUGGGGUAAGGAGAGGUGUAUAAGAAGGGAGGCGUUGGAGGAUUCAGUGUAUGUCCGGGAUAACUGCCUUGUGAUUGAAUGUGUUAUCACUGUUUUAGGCCAAUUAAGGGUGUCCGAAACCAAACCAUUGUGUGAAAUUGAUGUGCCUCCCCCUAACGCACUACGACAUUUUGGCAAGAUGUUGGAGGAUACGUCCACAGCAGAUGUGACCUUCAACGUUGAACAAGAAACAUUUGCUGCCCACAGGGUGGUGCUUGCUGCGCGGUCACCUGUCUUCCAAAAGCAGUUCAGCGAGCCCAUGAAGGACAAGAAGAUGAGCCGCAUGACCAUCAAUUUCAUGGAACCGGUGGUUUUCAAGGCUCUGCUCCAUUUCAUUUACACCGAUUCCCUGCCUGCAAUGGACGAUCUCAAUAAAGCUGAAAGCAAUGCUGUUAUGCAGCACCUGCUUGCAGCUGCGGAUCAGUAUGAAUUAGAGAGGUUGAAGCUUAUGUGUGCACGCACCUUGGUUAUGAACCUUAAUGUGGAGAAUGUGGCUAGUGCACUAUGGCUGGCUGAUAAGUAUGAUUGCCAGAAGCUUAAAGAAGCUUGCGUCAAUUUUAUGGCCCCUUCCAACAGAGUGGAUGCUGUGGUGGCAAGCCAAGGGUACCAGCUUCUGAAAAGAACUUCUCCCUCUCCAUUAGCAGAUGUGUGGGAGAAGAGGAGCCGUGUUCGCCAAGGCUUUCUUUAGAGCACAACCAAAAGGUACAUUACUAGUUUAAGAGUGCUUCUGUCAGCAAAAUGACCGGUAUGAUGUCAGCAGAAUGUAUUAUGCUUAUCUAGAUCCUAUGCUUUGAGAAAUCACCUAAGCACCCCCCCCUGGUAACUCUUUAGUUUUUUGCUAGAAACUAUUAAUGUAAUGUUGGUCAUGUAUGUGUAGCUGUGAAAUGUUGAUCUUUAGAUGCAUUCCUGGGUCAAUUUAGC